AUGAGGGCGGUUCUGAAGGGAAUUAAACCAAUGAGACGAGCCCGGGGCGGGGCGCGGGGCCGGAGGAGCUGGAGCCGCGGCGGCGGCGGCCCCGCGGAGAGUUUAAGAUGGCGGCGGGGGGGGGCAGCGGGCCAGAGGGAGGAGCAGCGCUAUGGGCUGUUGUGCGGCCGGCUGGCGCAGGAUGACAUCCCUGUACUGCAUGUGAAGCUCACCGAGACGGCGAUCCGGGCGAUCGAGACUUACCAGAGCCGCAAGAAUUUAAUUCUUUUCGACCUUCAAUUCAGUUCCAAGGACUCCAUGGGCUUGUCAAAAUUCCCAAAAAAUGAUCUCCUCAAUGAAGUUCAUAACUUUAACUUUUAUUCGUCAAAUGUGGGCAAAGACAACCCUUAGGGCAGCUUUGAAUGCAUCCAGCAAACAUUCUCCAGCUCUGGAGCCUCCCAGCUCAACUGCCUGGGAUUUAUACAAGACUAAAAUUACAGUGUAUGCAACAAACGACUCGGAUCAGAUGACACGAGAAAGAAUGACCCAGGCAGAGGAGGAAUCCCGCAACCGAAGCACAAAAGUUAUCAAACUCGGUGUACCAUAUGUAAGGAAAAGAGUGCCAAUUCGGAAAGCACCUUAAGCUGUUUCAGAUACAGUUCCUGAGAGGAAACGGUCAACCCCCAUGAACCCUGCAAAUACAAUUCGAGAGACACACAGCAGCAGCAGCGUCUCUCAGAGGCCAUACAAGGACAGGGUGAUUCACUUACUGGCCCUGAAGGCCUGCAAGAAACCGGAGCCACUUGCUAGGCUCCAGAAAGAUGGUGUCAAUCAAAAAGACAACAACUCCCUGGGAGCAAUUCUGCAACAGGUAGCCAAUCUGAAUCCUAAAGACCUCUCAUAUACCUUAAAGGAUUAUGUUUUUAAAGAGCUUCAAAGAGACUGGCCUGGAUACAGUGAAAUAGACAGACGGUCAUUGGAGUCAGUGGUCUCUAGAAAACUAAAUCCAUCUCAGAAUGCUGCAGGCACCAGCCGUUCAGAAUCUCCUGUAUGUUCGAGUAGAGACGCUGUAUCUUCUCCUCAGAAACGGCUUUUGGAUUCAGAGUUUAUUGAUCCUUAAAUGAAUAGAAAAGCCCGAAUAUCUCACCUGAUGAACAGGGUACCACCAACACUAAAUGAUCAUUUGAAUCCCACCAGUGAAAAAUCUGCUGCAGGCCUCCCGCUGCCCCCUGCGGCUGCUGCCAUCCCCACCCCUCCACCGCUGCCUUCAGCCCAUCUGCCCAUCUCACAUCCUGCUCAGAUUGUAAAUUCUAACUCCAAUUCCCCUAGCACUCCAGAAGGCCGGGGGACCCAAGACCUACCUGUUGACAGUUUGAGUCAAAACGAUAAUAUCUAUGAGGAUCAGCAAGACAAAUAUACCUCCAGGACUUCUCUGGAAACCUUACCCCCUGGUUCAGUUCUACUAAAGUGUCCAAAGCCUAUGGAAGAAAACCAUUCAAUGUCUCACAAAAAGUCCAAAAAGAAGUCUAAAAAACAUAAGGAAAAGGACCAAAUAAAAAAGCACAACAUUGAGACUAUUGAGGAAAAGGAGGAAGAUCUUAAGAGAAAAGAGGAAAUUGCCAAGCUAAAUAACUCCAGUCCAAAUUCCAGUGGAGGAGUUAAAAAGGAUUGCACUGCCUCCAUGGAAACUUCAGCAACUGAACUCCUAGAUUAUUUGAUAAAAUGUAUCGCUAUCAUCUCCUAUGAGCAAUGCCAGAAUUAUAAGGAUGACUUCAAUGCAGAGUAUGAUGAGUACAGAGCUCUGCAUGCCAGGAUGGAGACUGUAGCUAGAUUUAUCAAACUAGAUGCACAAAGAAAGCACCUUUCUCCAGGCUCAAAAGAGUAUCAGAAUGUUCAUGAAGAAGUCUUACAAGAAUAUCAGAAGAUAAAGCAGUCUAGUCCCAAUUACCAUGAAGAAAAAUACAGACGUGAAUAUCUUCAUAACAAGCUGGCUCACAUCAAAAAGCUAAUAAGUGAAUUUGACCAACAGCAAGCAGAGACAUACUAUAAGGGUGCAUAA